CACUUGGGGGGUGUUCAGUAAAUACUGGCUGACGGACAGACGGGCGAUGGACAAAGGGAAGAGCGGGGGCGUUCAAGGGGGCGUUCAAAGAUGAGGCCAGAAAGGACACUUUGCGCAUGACAGCGAUCCUUGUCUUCUCCAGCCCAUCCUUAGUCCCGCUCUUCGCAGCCUUCAUGAGCUGGGUCAUCUGAGCAAAGGCAGAGGGCUCAUCAGAGAAGCUGAGGGAGGCCCCAGGAUGCCUGCCACCAAGGGCCACCAGCCCCACCCAGGCCUCCCAGCUGGAGCUGCACACAUCAAGACCCCGGGGCCCAUUCACUUCCAGGGAGGUGGCAGCAGAGACCAAGAGGGACGGCUAGGCAGUGGCACCUGGGACAUCCCGGGACAAGGUGAGAAGGGGCAUUCGUUCCCCGGGGGAUCACCCUGGAGGAACCCUCUUCAUCGGCAAGAAGGGGUCUUAACCCGAUUGUCUCCCUUUGGGGAAAGACUCGAGGCCUGGACUGCCAGGCCUGGGUUCAGAUCCCAGCCGUACCUCUCGGGACAAGUCACUUACUUAACCUGACUGAGCCUCAGUUUCCUUACUGAGAUGUGCCAGGGUCUGUGAAGACUAACAGACGGAAUCCAGGGAAGCAUACUGAACAGUAAAAUGACCUGUGCACGUA